rnacentral:ncRNA from 1 species
GAGAACAUGAAGACGAGAAGAGUAGUUGAUGAGAACAAGACAAGCGAGUCCUAAUUGGUGGAAGAGGACCUUGAUCAAGUCGGUGAAGAUGAUCUCUGAAUGGUGUCGUUGAGCAAUAGCUAGGCGACAACGGUUGUGCCCGUUAACAGCACGACAGUCUAGGUAUCAUACUGUACUGUCAGAGUCUAUUUUUGCGAAAGAAUAGAAAAGUAAGGUGGCACCACGAAAUUUAACAGUUUCGUCCUUUGG